UACGGAGGGUGCAAGCGUUACUCGGAAUUACUGGGCGUAAAGGGCGCGUAGGCGGCUCGUUAAGUUUGAUGUGAAAGCCCCGGACUCAAUUCGGGAAGUGCAUUGAAUACUGGCGAGCUAGAGUUUGGGAGAGGAAAGCGGAAUUCCUGGUGUAGAGGUAAAAUUCGCAGAUAUCAGGAGGAACAACAGCAGCGAAGGCGGCUUUCUGGACCAAUACUGACGCUGAGGCGCGAAAGCGUGGGGAGCAAACAGG
rnacentral:rRNA from 1 species